rnacentral:rRNA from 1 species
AUUCCAGCUCCAAUAGCGUAUAUUAAAGUUGUUGCAGUUAAAACGCUCGUAGUCGGAUUUCGGGGCGGGCCGACCGGUCUGCCGAUGGGUAUGCACUUUUUUUCGUUUUUUUCCCCCCUUCUCCCGCGCCUACUCUUAACUGAGCGGGCGCGGGAGACGGGUCUUUUACUUUGAAAAAAUCAGAGUGUUUCAAGCAGGCAGUCGCUCUUGCAUGGAUUAGCAUGGGAUAAUGAAAUAGGACUCUGGUGCUAUUUUGUUGGUUUCGAACACCGGAGUAAUGAUUAACAGGGACAGUCAGGGGCACUCGUAUUCCGCCGAGAGAGGUGAAAUUCUCAGACCAGCGGAAGACGAACCACUGCGAAAGCAUUUGCCAGGGAUGUUUUCAUUG